CCGAAUAAUAUUCCACUGUAUGUGUGUUGUCACGUUUGUAUGUAUGUAUGUACGCAUGCACAUUUUCUUUUUCCAUUCAUCUGUUGGAGUUUUAUGGUUUCAGGUCUUCCAUUCAAGUCUUUAAUCCAUUUUGAGUUGAUUUUGUGUAUAGUGUAGGAUAGGGGUCUAGUUGCAUUUGUCUGCAUGUGGCUAUCAAGUUUUCCCAACACCAUUUAUUGAAGACACUGUUCUUUCCCCAUCGUAUAUUUUUGGAAACUUUGUUAAAAAUUUAUUAACCAUAUAUGUAUGGAUUUAUUUCUAGGCUCUUCAUUCUGUUGCCUUGAUAUACGUGCCUGCUUUUAUGCCAAUAUCAUACUGUUUUCAUUACUAUAGCCUUGUAAUAUGGUUUGGUGAUGCCUCCAGCCUUGUUCUUCUUUCUCAAGAUUGCUUUGGCUAUUUGGGGUUUUUUCUGUGAUUCUAUACAAAUGCUAGGAUUUCUUUUUCUGUUUCUUGAAAAAUGCCUUUAGAAAUUUGAUAGCAUCUGGGAAAGUAUGUAUUAAGGCCCUUCCAGGGAGAAACUAGGUGAUGGGUAUUUUUGCCUGCUCCCUCUGCACUGAUGCUGGGUGUAUAGCCAUAGGGGGAGUACUCCUGUGCCUUAAAAUUUUCUUCUUUGUUUACUACAGUCCUGUGGGACUCAUGAAUGUAUGCCCCAUUCGCUAUUAGAGUCAGUCAUCAAGGGACCCACCCUCCAGGGGCAGUCACAAAAGUUGGGUUGCUAGCCAUGUGACAAGCUCCUUCCAGGGAGACACUGGUGACUUGGUUUUAUUGUUCAGGUAGGACAGAGGGCGAAUGAGGGAGAAGUGUCCACCAACUUUCUCCAUCUCUGAGGAGGCUAGGCCAGCCCCUCGUUGUGUGCUAAAACUAGAAACUGGACCCUCUGGAAGUUAGGCCCUUUUCAGGAAAAGACUGGGAGAUAGGUAUUUUGGCCUGCUACCUCUGUGCUGACCCCCGGGGCAACAGCCCUGCUGAAUGUGCAAGCACCAUUUGGAACUGUUCCUUUGUUUGCUGUAGUUGUGGGUGUCAUAGAGGCAAACCCUGUUGGCUUUCAGAGCUAGGUGUUUGGGGGGCUCAUCACUUGGGUGGGAGUCUUAAAAGCUGGCUCACUAGAUAUGCAGCUGAAUCCCUUCACUCCUCAGAGAGAAGCUGGGAGUUGGAGGUUCCUUCCCUAUUGUAUGGCACUGGUGUGGGGGUGCGGUGUAUGGCGAGAGCACAUCAGCCUUUCCAACCCGUUUCAAUGUGGGUAUUUUCUCAGUCACCCAAUAUGUAAGAGUUGCUCGUCUAGUUUCCGUAUUUCUCUCAGAGGGCAUUUCUCCAUGUGCAUCUGUCCUUUUGGUGCCUUCAUGGGAGGAGGGAAGUUCAGAAGCCUCCUAUGCUGCCAUUUUGGCUGAGUCUCCCAUCUCUACUCAUUCUUCAACCU
rnacentral:lncRNA from 1 species